rnacentral:tRNA from 1 species
UGUAUGUUGUGUUUGUUGCAAAUCAUCGAUGACGAAACCUUAUUAAUUAGAACUUGAUUG